GAGGGGAUAGCUCAGUGGUAGAGCGUAUCCUUAGCAUGCAUGAGGUCUUGGGUUCAAUCCUCAGUUCCUCUA
rnacentral:tRNA from 1 species